UACGGGGGGUGCGAGCGUUGUCCGGAAUCACUGGGCGUAAGGGGCGCGUAGGUGGCGUGAUAAGGGUGUGGUGAAAGCCCGGGGCUCAACCCCGGGUCUGCCAUGCCGACUGUCAGGCUAGAGUACUGUAGGGGCAGGCGGAAUUCCGGGUGUAGCGGUGGAAUGCGUAGAGAUCCGGAGGAAGACCGGUGGCGAAGGCGGCCUGCUGGGCAGUUACUGACACUGAGGCGCGACAGCGUGGGGAGCAAACAGG
rnacentral:rRNA from 1 species